AAGAGGAAUCUCAUUUAUUGCAAAGAAGAUUGGACUGGGAGGUUGCAGUUAUAGAGCUUCCGUAUUCUGGAACAAAAAUUAUUUUGUAAAUUAUUUAUCUUUAAAUGAUAGGUGUAUAGUGUGUAAGUCAGAAUUUUUUAAAAGUUUAAAUAAGGUAAUCAAAUAUGGACAUAUAUUUAAAUAUAUGAAUUCUUAAAUAAGUGGUAUUGCUAGUUGAAAGGAAUUUCUGCAAGCGUACAAGAGGAAGAGUUAAGACAAUUGGCGUUGGUUUCCAUUUGUUCUGUUGUCCUGACAGCCCGUCUCCCUUCUUCUCUUGAUACUUUUUUUUAAUAUCAUGUUAAUAUUAAUGAAUUCAUUACAACCAGAUGUCUUGCUUGGUGGGUUUGGGUAUCCAUUUGAUGAUAAUUGUGGCAUUGAGGUUUAAACUACAUAAACUCACUUGAUUAAACAUUCUCAAAUCAGGGUAUAACAAGAGACUCAUCCUCCCUCAUUCCCCCCCAACAUAAUGUUCCCUAGAAAGGAGCAGCAGGAUGGAGGUGGUGGCCUCAAAUUCUCUGGGUUUUGUAUCUGGCCCAACUCUGCAUCUGGUGUUUCCCAGGAAAGCUGGUGCCAAUGUCAUACAAUGCCACAUCUGUUUUCAA
rnacentral:lncRNA from 10 species